rnacentral:rRNA from 1 species
UAAGGAAUUUUCGUCAAUGGGGGAAACCCUGAACGAGCAACGCCGCGUGGAGGAUGAAGGUUUUCGGAUUGUAAACUCCUUUUGUGAGGGACGAUAAUGACGGUACCUCGCGAAUAAGCCCCGGCUAACUCUGUG